rnacentral:rRNA from 1 species
AGUGAACGCUGGCGGCGUGCCUAAUACAUGCACGUCGAACGGAGUGGCGCACGGGUGAGUAAUGUGUAGCUAAUCUUCCCUACACUAGAGGACAACAGCUGGAAACGGCUGCUAAUACUCUAUAGUGUAGGAUGAGGCUUUAUUGUAUCAGCUAGUUGGUGAGGUAAUGGCUCACCAAGGCUAUGACGCAUAACUGGGCUGAGAGGAUGAUCAGUCACACGGGAACUGAGACACGGUCGGGACACCAACAGGAGGCGGCAGAAGGGAAGAUUGCUAAAGGGGGGAAACCCGGAAGGAGCAACGGCGCGUGGAGGAAGACACGUUUCGGAGCGUAAACUCCUUUUGUUAGGGAAGCGGUACCUAACGAAUAAGCACCGGCUAACUCCGUGCCAGCAGCCGCAGUAAUAC